GACGAACGCUGGCGGCGUGCCUAAUACAUGCAAGUUGAGCGAUGAAGAUUGGUGCUUGCACCAAUUUGAAGAGCAGCGAACGGGUGAGUAACGCGUGGGGAAUCUGCCUUUGAGCGGGGGACAACAUUUGGAAACGAAUGCUAAUACCGCAUAAUAACUUUAAACAUAAGUUUUAAGUUUGAAAGAUGCAAUUGCAUCACUCAAAGAUGAUCCCGCGUUGUAUUAGCUAGUUGGUGAGGUAAAGGCUCACCAAGGCGAUGAUACAUAGCCGACCUGAGAGGGUGAUCGGCCACAUUGGGACUGAGACACGGCCCAAACUCCUACGGGAGGCAGCAGUAGGGAAUCUUCGGCAAUGGACGAAAGUCUGGCCGAGCAACGCCGCGGGAGUGAAGAAGGUUUUCGGAUCGUAAAACUCUGUUGGUAGAGAAGAACGUUGGUGAGAGUGGAAAGCUCAUCAAGUGACGGUAACUACCCAGAAAGGGACGGCUAACUACGUG
rnacentral:rRNA from 1 species